rnacentral:rRNA from 1 species
UACGUAGGGUGCAAGCGUUGUCCGGAAUUAUUGGGCGUAAAGAGCUCGUAGGCGGUCUGUCGCGUCGGCUGUGAAAUCCCGAGGCUCAACCUCGGGUCUGCAGUCGAUACGGGCAAACUAGAGUAUUGCAGGGGAGACUGGAAUUCCUGGUGUAGCGGUGAAAUGCGUAGAUAUCUGGAGGAACACCGGUGGCGAAGGCGGCAUCCUGGACCAACACUGACGCUGAGGAGCGAAAGCCAGGGGAGCAAACGGG